GUCCGCCGGGGAGUAAAGACCGCAAGGUUGAAACUCAAAGGAAUUGAUGGGGGCCCGCACAAGCGGGGAGCAUGUGGUUUAAUUGGAAGCUACGCGAGGAACCUUACCAGGUCUUGACAUCUUGCGCCAACCCUAGAGAUAGGGCGUUUCCUUUGGGAAGGCAAAGACAGGUGGUGCAUGGUCGUCGUCAGAUAGUAUCGUGAGAUGUUGGGUUAAGUCCCGCAACGAGCGCAACCCUUGUUAUUAAGUGCCAGCAUUCAGUUGGGCACUUUAGUGAGACGACCGGUGACAAACCGGAGGAAGGUGGGGAAGACGUCAGAUCAUCAUGCCCCUUAUGACCUGGGCUACACACGUGCUACAAUGGACGGUACAACGAGUCGCGAACUCGCGAGGGCAAGAUAAUCUCUUAAAACCGUUUUCAGUUCGGACUGCAGGCUGCAACUCGCCUGCACGAAGUCGGAAUCGCUAGUAAUCGUGGAUCAGCAUGCCGCGGUGAAUACGUUCCCGGGCCUUGUACACACCGCCCGUCACACCAUGAGAGUUUGCAACACCCAAAGUCGGUGGGGUAACCCUUCGGGGAGCUAGCCGCCUAAGUGGGGC
rnacentral:rRNA from 1 species